AAGCGAAACCGCCCUUGAAUGGGGCGGUCGUCGGGGCGUGGUAGCCUCGGCCUGAUGAGCAGCCAAAA
rnacentral:hammerhead_ribozyme from 1 species